ensembl:lncRNA
AUGGACCAAAUCCUCUUGGAUAAAACCCCAAUGCCUGAACUAAUUCAGCGCACGCUUCCUUCUUCGCCAUGGCUUGAACUACCUACUCCGACGCUGCUAGCGUUCUUGUCAUCCAGAACUCAAAACACUCUGACUGCCAAGAAUCUUCGAAGUCUUGUAAACCGCGAAACUAUCCGAAGGAAUUCCGAAGCUCUACGUAACCAGGCAACCAACCAAUCACCAGGAGGGUUUUCCCAAAAGACGUCAUCCAAACGACAGAUCUGCAACCAACCCGAGGCCUCUACGUAACCAGGCAACCAACCAAUCACCAGGAGGGUUGUUCCCAAAAGACGUCAUCCAAACGACAGAUCUGCAACCAACCCGAGGCGUGGGGAUUCCCUGAGACGAGGCAACAAGCGAAUCUCCAACUCCGCUUUUCAGCGCAAAUGCAAGUAAAACAAACAAACUUCAUUCCUUGCUGAAAUAAGUGCAGAUUGAUCUUAAGCAGUAAAGAUAAGACACAUCUCUGCUUUUGUGAUUUUCUUGGUGCGAUCUAACGAAUAACUUACUCCUGGGACUUCAUUCAAAUUCCGUUAUCAUCCUCUUCAGUAACUGUGUGUGUGUAUGUACGUGUGUGUGUAUGUAUGUGUAUGUCCAUUAGGUUUUAGAUCCAUGUAAUAGAGUAGCUCAAUAAAUUCUUGUUUCAUUUAUAAAGAAGUAUUGUCUUGUGUGGUGUAUUUUAAGAUUAAACUUUGCCCAGAUCCUAUGCUACCUAGCUAGUAGUUUAUAAAUUAUCAUUCUGUUUGUAUUCUCAUUAAGCCAUGAAGUAAUAUAAACAGAAUGGAAAGGAUAUACUGAAUUUUACGUUCGCUGGACGAACCGUUGAUGAAGUAUAAACUAAUUAAAUUUGGAAUCAGUUCAAUUAAAGCAAUUCGAAUCUUUAGAUUCGAUUCUUCUCAAAAUAAAUGAGCUAAUAUUUCCUUACAUCUGCAAGUCAGUCUCUUUAUUUCUUGCAAUUGCAAUUUUAUAUCAAGUUUUCAGAAUUGUGAGAAAAAGUCAGAACUGUAAGACAAAAAGUCGCAAUUACAAUACAUUUUAAUCUUUUUUUUUUUUUUCUUUUUUUAUCCCAUGGCAGAAACAGGUUUCUAUACAAACCCCAUUUUGCAAGCACAGAAAAAUAUUCUAAUAUAUAUAUAGAUCAGAACUCAAAACUUUCUUGUCUAAAACCAGCUAAAAGCCAGUCAGCCAAAACAUCUAGAAUGUGCCACUUUAUGAUGUGAGGAUAUAGGAUUUUCAGAAAGAUUGAAACUAAAAGACGAUGCUGUGCUGAAUAUAUUGGAUCCGAUGUCGCACCACACAAGUGUGAGUGUCUGUUUUUAUUAUGUAGUCACUAUUGCUUUGUCUGUUAUUUCCUACCCAUAAAUAUAUCAAACUUAAUUUUUGCUUAGUAAUACGCUUUGCUAAGAACUUUAUUUGGACAGCUUUAAAGGCGAUUUUCUCAAUAUUUAGAUUUUUUUGCACCCUCAGAUUCCAGAUUUUCAAAUAGUUGCAUCUCGGCCAAAUAUUGUCCUAUCCUUACAAACCAUACAUCAAUGGAAAGCUUAUUUAUAUAAUAAGCUUUAUUUUUUUCUUUCUUUUAAUUGACCCUUAUGACUGGUUUUGUGGUCCAGGGUGACAUAUUUAUUUUAAUUGAAUUAGUAUUUUUUUUCCAUACAC